GCCCAAUGAUGAGACCAAGGCGAAUGUGAGCUUGUUGGGUAAGAGUCUGAGCUCUUCUGUGCUCCUAUUGGCUGGUAAUCUUGGCUGGGCAGGGGAGAUUUGCUGCUUUGCUGUAAGGGCCAGCCAACAUAAAGCGAGUUCUUCCUAUCAAGCUCUUCCUCAGAGAAAUGAAGGAGAGAUUUGGGAUGGAUGAUCAUUGUGUGUGUGUGUGUGUGUGUGUGUGUGUGUGUGUGGGUGUGGACACAGGUCGAAACUCAGUUCUCUGUAAUGUCCAAUGAGCUAUGAGCUAGUUCUUUUGUAAUCUGAGGGCG
rnacentral:snoRNA from 1 species